UUGAUUCCUGGUUGACGACUUAUGUGAUGUUGUCGUUACGAAUAUUCAUGGACAAGCAUGUGACAAAUUGGUUGUCAACAUGUUUCUUUUGUUGACAAUCAACUUAAAAGAUAUUUAUCAUAUCUUUUUAAAAGGCUACUCUUUUUAUCAUAAUUUUUGUUCGCUACGGAUUAAUCUAAUGGCUAAUUGAAUUACAUAAUCAUUUCAUGUGAAACUCCACCACUGAUGUAACAUGUACUUGGUGUCAU
rnacentral:lncRNA from 1 species